AUUGAACGCUGGCGGCAUGCCUUACACAUGCAAGUCGAACGGCAGCACGGGUGCUUGCUCCUGGUGGCGAGUGGCGAACGGGGGAGUAAUACAUCGGAACAUGUCCUGUAGUGGGGGAUAGCCCGGCGAAAGCCGGAUUAAUACCGCAUACGAACUACGGAUGAAAGCGGGGGACCGUCGGGUCUCGCGCUUUCGGGUUGGCCGAUGGCUGAUUAGCUAGUUGGUGGGGUAAAGGCCUACCAAGGCGACGAUCAGUAGCUGGUCUGAGAGGACGACCAGCCACACUGGGACUGAGACACGGCCCAGACUCCUACGGGAGGCAGCAGUGGGGAAUUUUGGACAAUGGGCGAAAGCCUGAUCCAGCAAUGCCGCGUGUGUGAAGAAGGCCUUCGGGUUGUAAAGCACUUUUGUCCGGAAAGAAAACCUUGGCCCUAAUACGGUCGGGGGAUGACGGUACCGGAAGAAUAAGCACCGGCUAACUACGUG
rnacentral:rRNA from 1 species